UACGUAGGAGGCAAGCGUUGUCCGGAAUUACUGGGCGUAAAGCGCUCGCAGGUGGUUCGUCGCGUCGUGCGUGAAAGACCCCGGCUCAACUGGGGGGCGUCGUGCGAAACGGGCGGACUGGAGGCCAGUAGGGGGAUGCGGAAUUCCGGGUGUAGUGGUGGAAUGCGUAGAGAUCCGGAGGAACACCAGCGGCGAAGGCGGCAUCCUGGACUGGUCCUGACACUCAUGAGCGAAAGCGUGGGGAGCGAUCCGG
rnacentral:rRNA from 1 species